UGGCGAUGAAGCAGAGGACUGGUUCGGCAUCAGCCUGUUGUGAAGCUAAACCGUGGGUUAAGCGAAAACCACAAGCCGAAUACAUUCACUUGAAUCGAACAAAAACGCAAAAU
rnacentral:ncRNA from 1 species